CCAUUGGUGGCAAGAGGUGAUCAAAAGAUUGGAUUAUAAUAUUGGUGACGAAAUACCUUUUGAAAAUAAUUGAAGACUUUUCUUUAAGCUCCCAGGACUUUUCCUCUGGGCACCAGUCUAUAAGCCUGAAGAGCACAGUGCCAUCUUGGAUUAGGUGGUUUUAUAAACAGGGGCAUCAUGAUACCACCCCCUUGACCAAGUGAGUACCCUACUUUACAUUCUGCUGGGUUUGAGUGACUAUUUGA
rnacentral:lncRNA from 11 species